rnacentral:rRNA from 1 species
AACGAACGCUGGCGGCAUGCCUAACACAUGCAAGUCGAACGAAGGCUUCGGCCUUAGUGGCGCACGGGUGCGUAACGCGUGGGAAUCUGCCCUUUGGUUCGGAAUAACAGCUGGAAACGGCCGCUAAUACCGGAUGAUGACGAAAGUCCAAAGAUUUAUCGCCAGAGGAUGAGCCCGCGUUGGAUUAGGUAGUUGGUGGGGUAAAGGCCUACCAAGCCGACGAUCCAUAGCUGGUCUGAGAGGAUGAUCAGCCACACUGGGACUGAGACACGGCCCAGACUCCUACGGGAGGCAGCAGUGGGGAAUAUUGGACAAUGGGCGCAAGCCUGAUCCAGCAAUGCCGCGUGAGUGAUGAAGGCCCUAGGGUUGUAAAGCUCUUUUACCCGGGAAGAUAAUGACUGUACCGGGAGAAUAAGCCCCGGCUAACUCCGUG